AAGUCGUAACAAGGUUUCCGUAGGUGAACCUGCGGAAGGAUCAUUAACACGUAUCCAAACGUUAAAACCCCCCCCGUGAACCUUCAUCCUGCUCUUGUAACCCGCGUAGUUCGCAAUCUCUGAUAAAUCAUAGCCCGGAAAGUUGUAGUGAUUCAGAGACCUCUGGCUACGUGCGAACAUUGGAACAGUUACAAUCGAGCGGUAGUUCUAUAGGCAAUGUUUCCCCAAGCAGUCAGUGUCCGAAAGUGUCAUUGAUUGUGCAAAGAUAGCGCUUCUACGAUUCCUGUAGACCGUACAUAACCCCACAGUUUAAUGUGAAGCUCAAUGUAAUACAUUGGGUAAAAAAACCGAACAACUGUUAACAAUAGAUAUCUUGGUUCUC
rnacentral:misc_RNA from 1 species